GUUCCCGGCAUUCCCUGGGGCGGCGGGGUUGGCUCUAACGAAUUUGAAUGAGGAGCCUCAGCGCUUUCGGCGCCAUUUUCGAGUGAUGCCUGAUCUCAUCAAUCUAGCGGGAGAGACAGGAUAACCUGUCCGAGAGUAUAGCGCCACUAUGACUCCGCCGGAAAAAUUACUUUAAAAAUCGCCAAAAAUUACUUGGAGCAAAGGGCAGUCGGCGGAGCUUCGCCAAGGCUGGCGCAGUCGGUUUUGACCUGUAGCAGAGAACCAAUUCUGGAGAACAGCCUCACUUCUUUGAUUGAAUACUUACAUAAUGCAUUGGAACAUGACAUGAGAUUAAGGUUUAAUAAUGAUAGAAUGAAGACCACAAUAAAAGAGACCUCUACUUAGCUCAGCAAUUCUUACCUUUCUUACCUAUUUGAUGAAGAUGUCUUUUGAAAGGUGUACUGCAAGGAACAAAAUGUUUGUAAAUUCUCCUUUUACCAAGGUGGAUAAUUACUGUACCUUCCUCAUGGAAAAAGUUUUAUUUAAAGUGUUAUUUCUCAUUGAAUACUAUCAAAAAGGAAAAAAAAAUGACCUAAACUUUUGAGAUAGAUUUGGCUCUAAUCGACACCUUGACUGUGUGAGACGUGAUUAACAAAAAGGAAAACUACCCCCACUGGAAGUUGUUAAAGGAAAGGCAAUGCAAAUGAAAAAAAAGAAAAAGAAUUUCUAAAAGUUUUAUCAGACAAAAAUUUAAUUGAAUCAAUGGGGCAAUCUGGAGUUCUGGAUGAUUCUGUUAAUUGAAGUUUACAAUCACUUUUAUUUUAUUUUUAUUUAUUUACUUAUUUUGAGACAGAGUCUCACUCUGUUACCAGGCUGGAAUGCAGUGGCGCGAUCUCAGCUUACUGCAACCUCCGCCUCCCUGGACCAAGCGAUUCUCAUGUCUCAGCUUCCUGAGUAGCUGGGAUUACAUGCGUGCACCACCACACCCAGCUGAUUUUUUUUUUUUUUUUCUUUUUGAGACAGAGUCUUGCUCUGUCGCCCAGGCUGGAGUGCAGUGGCGUGAUCUUGGCUCACUGCAAGCUCCGUCUCCUGGGUUCACGCCAUUCUCCUGCUUCAGCCUCCCGAGUACCUGGAACUACAGGCACCCAUUACCACACCUGGCUAAUUUUUUGUAUUUUUAGUAGAGACGGGGUUUCACCGUGUUAGCCAAGAUGGUCUCAAUCUCCUGACCUUGAGACCAUCCUGACCUUGUGAUCUGCCCGUCUCAACCUCCCAAAGUGCUGGGAUUACAGGCAUGAACCACCGCGCCCGGCCGUUUUUUUGUUAUUUUUAUAGAGACGGGGUUUCACCAUGUUGGCCAGGCUGGUCUCGAACUCCUGACCUCAGGUGACCCGCCCGCCUCGGCCCUCCAAAGUGCUGGGAUUACAGGCAUCAGCCACUGCACCUGGCCUAGUUUUUAAAAAAAUUUUAUUUAACACCUGUAAAGCUUCUGGAGUAUAAUCAUUUUAAACCUUGUUUGAAUAUUUUCUAAAACAUUAAUAAAAAUGGUAAUAUUUCAAUAUAUUUUCUUGCCUUAAUAAAGUAUAUGCUGAAUAUCAUUACAUUUUAUAAAUAAAGACAUACCUUAUUAUCAAGUCUUAUGUAAUACAGUAGUGUCUCCCAUUUUCCAUGUAGUUACACACAGUCAACUGAAGUCUGGAAAUAUUAAAUGGAAAACUCCAGAAAUAAACAACGUUUAAGUUUCAAA
ensembl:lncRNA DLEU2 deleted in lymphocytic leukemia 2